rnacentral:lncRNA from 1 species
CCCCACCCCGGGAGGAACUCCGGGGACCCCGGAGCCCCGCGCCGCUUCCCUGCGAGGCCUCGCCGGAGCUCGCUCUCUCGGCCGUCCCGCGAGGACCCUGCCCGCUGCCCCCCCCCCCCGUCCCGCGCUCCGUGGCUGGGGCGGGGCUGCGCGUGAGGGUGGGGCGCGGGCCGAGGCGAGACGUGGCGGACCGGGCCGCCGGAGCAGUGCCUGGGUUUCAGCCUUGUGGCUCAGUUGCCUUCGCAGACCGGAGCAGUGUGGAGGGGCUGAAAAGGACGAUGAGGACACCACCUGGGAGAGAUGGAGAUGCUUCUGUGGGCCACAAGUGGCUUUCAAGGAAGCCUUGGUACGGUUGGUCUCUGAGAUGUAAUAAGAUUGCAUUAAAAGUAUGAAAACUCUCAGCCUAGACAGUGUGGCUGGCCUCUUGACAAUUGCAUCUUACCUGGAUUUUCCUACAGAUGACGUAGGCAAGCAUACCAGUCACCACCCGUGAGCUUCUCUUUUUGCCUCUGGUUUCUUUCUUUUAAAUCUGUGACAUUUAAGAACUGAAGAAAAAAGCUAGAUUGUCUGAAUGGUC